UCCCGGCUCCUCACUGUACAGUCUUCUUUUCUUUUCCCUGGGUCUGUCUCCUGCAGAGGGUCGCUGGUACUCGGCUUUUCAGACGGGCCCAGCUCUCCGCAGCGUAUGGCCUCAGACGUUGUGGGACUCCUCAUCCUCUCCUACUAUCUCCUUGUCCUUAUUCAUCCACCCCUCCCGAUACUGGGAAAUCCCUCUUCCCAUCUGUUUCCAACCCGGAAUCUUCCCCUAACUCAAGCGGGCGAACAGUAAUCCCUGCCCAAAGCAGAAUCCUUUGGACGGGGUGGGAUCCCGGCCGGCCCUGGGGUCCCCCGCCAGAGCAGGGGUCGGUGACUGCCGGGAGGGGCUCUAUCUCCAUGGGGAGCCCGUCGACACGGCGUCGUAGUCGGGGUGCUUAUUUUCCCACCCUCACACAGGCAGAGGAGCCCUGUCUCUGUGCUCCUGCCCUCAAUGAGAUGAGCCUUCGGCGUCCUCCCCACCCUCCCGGUCUCCCGCUGCCCGGAGGACCCCCCGGCGGGGCGGUCGCUCCCGUGUCUCCAGUUCCCGGCGUUCACUACCCAGUGCGUUGGGAUCUGGUGAUAUUUACCUUCCUCUCGCACGGGGUCAGCCCCUGCUUUGGAGCCUUUGCUGCGUCAACUUGUCUUUUCUCCGUGACGACCAAGCGGCCCCCUUCCCCCUGCCGAUCCGAGGGAAUUUCCAUUUGCUGAAGAAACUGAUCAGAUAUGAAGAUCUUUCCUGUGAUUAAAUGGGAUUUCUGUGUCCUUCAACAGAGUCUUCAGCAGUGAAAUCUAUGAGAUCUGCAAACAUUCAGGUAUAUAUCUACACCUAUGUAUCCACAGUCAAGCUGUUGGUUUAAGAGAAGAGAAGAGUUGGACUGGAAUAACGGACUGGAAAAUCUGCUGUAUUAAUUGAAAGACAACAGAGAGGAGAGAUAAUAUGAACAAAUUUUAUAACUAAAGCAAGCAAAGGGCUGAGCCUAGCAAUGGCUUUGGCAGGUGUUUAGCUGUAAUUUCUUCACUGAUUGCUUACAUCCUUCUUCAAACCUAGGAGUGUCUCUGACCAUGUGCCUGUACUAAAGGUUAUGUGUGAUGGGCUUCUAGAGGUAACUAAUUUAAUUCUCUUGGGUUGUAUAAUGAAAUGGCACAUAUCUGGAAAUAUUAUAGUUAUGUCAUACUAAAAAAUGAAUCUGGGAUUCAUGAUCACUCAAAAUGACUAAGUAAUUUUUAAAUUAUAAUGAUUUUCUCAUUAUAAAUAUGGUUUUAAAUAAAAGGGCUCCAACUUGUUUCCAACUUUUAAUUUAUUUUUAUUUUGAAUUAUAAACCAGAUACCAUUAUUUAAAUAAUACGUUUCGAUUGGAAGUAAAAGAAGCAAAGCCUGAAAUUAUAGGAGGUAGAAAAAAUUUAACUAUUUCUGCUGGCAUAGUACUGGCAAAUACAGAUAUCUCACAAUCAUAAUGGAGAUUAGUAGAGCUGGAUGUGCAUAUUUGUUAUGGAUCAAAGAUAGGAUAUAGUGAUUAGAAGAAUGACAAUACUUUCAACACUCACAAAGGGAUUGAAUGUGUAAUUUAUAAUACUAAUUCCACAAAACCUUUCUAGGGCUGCUUACUGCACACGGGAUUCAAUAUGGAUUGAUCCCAGAAAAAAAAAAUUCCUUCAGAUCAGCUGGAUCAAACCCUUGCAACCCACCAAAAAACUUUUUGGCAUUGACACUGUGAUUUAAGAGAUUAUUUCCCCCUCACCGGUUUACUCCAUGUUUCUGCCACAGAUAAUGACCCCCAAUGUGUCAGAGAAGUUUGUGUGCUACAUGCCCAGUGGCCACGCUUUACAGUUCAGUAUUUUAGCUUGUAAUACAUUGAUUUUAUCUGAGUACUUAAGGUUAUUUUUUAUAUAUGCAUGGAAUAAACAUUAAAACAAAGAUGCUGAUGCUCUGAAAGAGCCAACAGUAGCCUGUAGCCUGUGGAUACAUACCUCUGAUUUUCUAUUUACUAGCAGUCAGAAGCACUGACUCAGUUACCAACCUGCCACUGGUUCUACUAGGGGACUUGGUAAAGUCAUUCUAAGUCUCUUUGUUUUAGCUUCUGGACUUAAAAUGAGGUAAUGCUGCUUGGGCAUCUUGGUGAAGCCAUAUUUGUAAAUAUACUCUUAUCCUUGCUAGAACUAUUGCAUCGGUGCCUAGUUUUGAGCACGCAUACUGACAUUUUGAGGCAGAAUAGACUAGUGUUUCAGCUGGAGACCAGCAUCCCCCAACAGGGCUGGGGGGCUUUGGAUGUUUUCAUGUGAAAAGAGUUUCACAGCCAGCUGGAAAAGGAUACCAACGCAAGUGACGAACUAGGCGUAAGCCACAGAAAAACUAGCAAAGUAGUUAUCCUCUUAUUUCUCUUUUUCUACAAGUGAUUGCUAUUGAGAUUUCCAAGGACUCCUUCUGGCAUUGCUGGAGGUCCAUACAAUUCUGCCAUGAUUCCUGAUUGCCUAGAUGAAGGUGAGCACUGGAGAGCACCAUAACUCCUCCUAAAUGUACUGCAGUUUCCUCCUAAAGCUGGCGGGCCAUUAUGUGCAUCUCAAUCUCAUUCUAGCAUCAACUUGGAUCAUAUUAAUGUGCACUGGGAGUGAGGCUUCCUCCAAGGCAUGGACUCAGUCAAUUUAGGAGAAAAGAAACUGCAUUUUCAGAUCUUCUCCAACUAACUGAACAAUUUUUUAAUGAUCAUUUUUCUUUCUAAGAAGAAAAACCCUUUAUUGUAACAUUAAUAGACUAAUACCUUAGAUUAUACAAUUUAUAUGAUAUUAGAAAGCUUAGUCAUCUGGUGAAACCUAAUUAAGGAAAAUAAAUGUGUAGCCAGGGACUAAAACUGCACAGGAUUUUCUGAGUCUAGAUCCAUUUGCUAAGUAUAAGGAUUCAUCUAGCGAUGAAAUUUUGGAAUUUGCAAACUACAGAGAUGCGGCUUAACCUAUUUAACUAAAUACGUCACGUUAAUAAAAAAAAACACCACACCACCUCCAGGCUUCAAGCAUCACUGUGAUCAUUCAGCAAGGGGCACAUGAUGAUAAUAACAAGGGAAAGGGGAAAAAACUUUCUCUGUUUUCAUGAGUAUCAGAGACAGGAAUCUCUGCACCUGUCAUCUCCAGAGUUUAAGCUGAGGAUCUAGAGGAUAUAUCGUCAACACUUACUCCUGGAAUGACUGCUAAGCAAUGCAUGUGGCUUAGCAGAAGAAAUAUGUAGCAUUUGGGAUUUAACUUGAUAUCAGCUCCCUUUGGGUACUUACUCCCUUUGCUUACUAGACCUAGAAUCUAAAUGCUGUAAAACAGGAAAAAGUUGGUGAAACAAGUCUUGAACCUUUCCUGCAACCUAGUUACUUAAUCCAGGAGCCAGCCCCUGGUUUGCAGCAAGAAGACCUGGCACACAACAGGUGCCUUAAGAAAACACCAACAUACUAAUUUUCCACUUUACCACAACUAUUAACCUAAGGAGGAAACACAUGUCUAAUGAUUUUCCUUCUUCCUCAUUUUUUUUUUUUUUUAAAUGCAAAUACUUCUUGCCAUUCAGCAGCUUCUUACUGGAACUUCCUGAUGCAAAUAACUCUUCACAUGCAGGGCCUUUUCUUCCACAUCCCAUUGUGACUCCUGCAGAGAGGGACUAUUCUAGGUAAAUUAAAUUGUUGAAGCUUUACUUAUUAUUUAACUAGUUUGAAAUGGAUCUGCUUUCUAGGCUUACAACUACAUUAAACUGCUAAGAGGAUGCAUCUUCAAUGAGGCAAUUGAACACUUCUAAUGGCUUGGGCAGCUAAUGGGAAUCCUUCCAUACAAAUCAGCUGCUUCAUAUUCCACCCUCUGGUCCUCCAGCUACUCUGAGAUUCCUGCUAAAGAGAGGGAGAAGCAAAUUAGUCACCAAAUAGAUAGGCUUCCUAGGAUGUAUUACAGGGCUUUAAUCAGAUGUCUCACUGUCAGAAGAAGAAAAGCUGCUAUUAAUUGGGAUGUAAUAUGACUGGCUAAUAAGUUUUUCAUUUUCAACAAGUUUUUAGGUGCAUUAGCAAGCUAAAAGUUGGCCAUCUAGCCUAGUGUAAGAAGCAUUGUUUCCAAGAAGUACACUGGCUACCCCCUUGAACUCCAGGAAUACAAUUAGGUAGGAAAAAAAAGCUACAAAGCUGUAGCUGAAAGCUAGAAAGAAAGGAGAGGAUAAUAGAAGACAUCUGCUUGUUAGAUCAGUGGAGCCUUUCAAUCAGUGGAGUGACAUAUUUGAAUCCAAUAUAUGCAGUUAGUGCCUGCAGUUCCUUGUUAUCACACAGGUGUUUGGGGACCCAAACUGAAGGAAAAAAAAACACUUUAUUUUUAUCCACCAUGAGAGACUUAAGUGAAUUACAAACAUAAUGUUGUGAACUGUUGUGGUCCAGAGAGUCAUAGAAAUCCCAGUGCUUUGAGUUCAGAUUAUAUGUGGGAAACUUUUUUUCCCUCUUAACGCUACAAGCUGCUCUGCUUUGCCUGUGCUUUCGACAGCCAGACUCCUUGGGGACCCAGUCAAUGUGACCUUGUAGUUUUGUGCCAUAGUUAUGAAUGUCUUGAAAGAUUAACUUUGACUUUUGACAUUGUGUUUUAAUAUAUAAGUUCCUUUAAAUAAAAUUUCUUUCCUGAA